GCCAUGCGAGUCGAGAGGGUUCGGCCCUCGGCGAACUGCUCAGUAACACGNUGGANAAUCUAACCUUAGGUGGAGCAUAACCUCGGGAAACUGAGAAUAAUACUCCAUAGAUCUUUGAGGCUGGAAUGCGCUUAGAUUGAAAGCUUCGGCGCCUAAGGAUGAGUCUGCGGACUAUCAGGUAGUAGUCAGGGUAAAGACCUGACUAGCCUACGACGGAUACGGGUUGUGAGAGCAAUAACCCGGAGAUGAUAUCUGAGACACGAUAUCAGGCCCUACGGGGCGCAGCAGGCGCGAAAACUUCACAAUGCGCGAAAGCGCGAUGAGGGGAUCCCAAGUGCUUGCACGUAAGUGUAAGCUGUUUUUCUGUCUAAAAAGCAGAGAGAGUAAGGGCUGGGUAAGACGGGUGCCAGCCGCCGCGGUAAUACCUGCAGCUCAAGUGGUGGCCGCUAUUAUUGGGCCUAAAACGUCCGUAGCCGGCUGAGUAAAUGCCUGGGUAAAUCGUGUGGCUUAACCAUACGAAUUCCGGGUAGACUGCUCAGCUUGGGACCGGAAGAAGUUAGAGGUACUCCUGGGAUAGGGGUGAAAUCCUGUAAUCCUGGGGGGACCACCAGUGGCGAAGGCGUCUAACUAGGACGGGUCUGACGGUGAGGGACGAAGCCCUGGGGCGCAAACCGGAUUAGAUACCCGGGUAGUCCAGGGUGUAAACGCUGCUUGCUUGAUGUUAGCUGGGCUCCGAGCUCGGCUAGUGUCGGAGAGAAGUUGUUAAGCAAGCUGCCUGGGAAGUACGGUCGCAAGACUGAAACUUUAAAGGGAAUUGGCCGGGGGAGCACAAGG
rnacentral:rRNA from 1 species